AAAGGGGGAUCCUAGUCAGUUGUACAACAGAAAGGGGGACACCUAGUCAGUUGUACAACAGAAAGGGGGAUACCUAGUCAGUUGUACAACAGAAAGGGGGAUACCUAGUCAGUUGUACAACAGAAAGGAAAGGGGGAUACAUAGUCAGUUGUACAACAGAAAGGAAAGGGGGUACCUAUCAGUUGUACAACAGAAAGGAAAGGGGGGUACCUAGUCAGUUGUACAACAGAAAAGGGGGAUACCUAGUCAGUUGUACAACAGAAAGGGGGAUACAUAGUCAGUUGUACAACAGAAAGGAAAGGGGGAUACCUAGUCAGUUGUACAACAGAAAGGAAAGGGGGAUACCUAGUCAGUUGUACAACAGAAGGAAAGGGGGAUACCAGUCAGUUGUACAACAGAAAGGAAGGGGAUACCCAGGUCACAGGUCACAGGGCACAAUGAGUAACUAAGUGUACAACAAAAAACACCAACCUCCACAACCGUCAUAUACAAAGUAAUUGUCUGGGAAGCUACAGUAUUACACACAGAUACCCUUAUAACAUGUCUGAGCCAGCCGAGUCGAGCUGGAUUGUACUGGCCAGGUUAUGCCUGUCCACCGUAGAUCCUGGACGGUGUUGAAAAGGAAAUGUCACAGUUAGUAUAGGACGUUUCAGGUCGGCACGACCUGUCACAGUGUUUUAAAAAGUCAAAUAUCCAUUUUGUCUCAGGCUUU
rnacentral:lncRNA from 1 species